rnacentral:rRNA from 1 species
GACGAACGCUGGCGGCGUGCUUAACACAUGCAAGUCGAACGGUGAAGGGACCAGCUUGCUGGUUCUGGAUGAGUGGCGAACGGGUGAGUAACACGUGAGUAACCUGCCCCCUUCUUCUGGAUAACCGCAUGAAAGUGUGGCUAAUACGGGAUAUUCUGGGUCUGUCGCAUGGCGGGCCCGGGAAAGAUAUUGCUUCGGUGGGGGAUGGGCUCGCGGCCUAUCAGCUUGUUGGUGGGGUGAUGGCCUACCAAGGCGGUGACGGGUAGCCGGCCUGAGAGGGUGGACGGUCACACUGGGACUGAGACACGGCCCAGACUCCUACGGGAGGCAGCAGUGGGGAAUAUUGCACAAUGGGCGCAAGCCUGAUGCAGCGACGCCGCAUGAGGGAUGGAGGCCUUCGGGUUGUAAACCUCUUUCGCCAGUGAAGCAGGCCUGCUCCUUGUGGGUGGGUUGACGGUAGCUGGAUAAGAAGCGCCGGCUAACUACGUG